GUGAGUCGGGAAGCUGACUACGGAGUUGAGUCAUUAAAUUGACAAGAGCUUUUAUGAGUUCUCAAUUCUGAGGAAGGUCCGGACAUCCCUUCAUUUAUGAAGGAAGCAGCGACUGACGAAAGUCAGCUGUCGUAAGGCAGAGCUCCAGAACAGAAACGACACCGCUCUCUUUGAGCAAUGAACUUUGCGGUAAGCUUUGAGAAGAGAGAUAGGAUGAAACGGCUGCCUUCGCUGAUGCAAGAGCCAAAGCCGCUCGCAAAGACGGAUGUCAGCACACACGGUUUGCGUCAAGUCGCAACGUCUGACAGAAUCUGGCCUAUUCCCGGCUCAC
rnacentral:RNase_P_RNA from 1 species